rnacentral:lncRNA from 1 species
GGUGGAUCCCGCGUCUGGUGUUCACGUUUUUGGUUUUGCUUCGCAGGUUUUGAGAUGCGAGGAUGGAGGCGAAAGAGACGAACUCACGGUGCUCCAGUGGUAGCGGCGACCGGUGACGCGACGAUAUAGUUGACGAACGACCGAGAUUUUGGGGGUUUUCUCCGCGCCAGAUCCGGCCCGCAAAGAGGCACGAUUUCCGCUAGAGACGAUGGCGAUGAAAAUGGUGAGGCGAUCUCUGCUGAAGGGGUUGAACGCGAUGGAAUAGCCAUUUGGAGGGAGUUUCAAUGAGCUUGGUAUUCUUCUUGCAGCCUGGACGGUACCAUCGCUAAUGUCGAUGUUGCGGGAGAGUAGGCGGUAGGUAGGGCGAGUGACACUGUAAAGUUACAUCUUUGUCGCUGAGAAAGCACUGUUG